UGGAGAGUUUGAUCCUGGCUCAGGACGAACGCUGGCGGCGUGCUUAACACAUGCAAGUCGAACGGAAAGGCCCCUUCGGGGGUACUCGAGUGGCGAACGGGUGAGUAACACGUGGGUAAUCUGCCCUGCACUUCGGGAUAAGCCUGGGAAACUGGGUCUAAUACCGGAUAUGACCACGAGGCGCAUGCCUUGUGGUGGAAAGCUUUUGCGGUGUGGGAUGGGCCCGCGGCCUAUCAGCUUGUUGGUGGGGUGACGGCCUACCAAGGCGACGACGGGUAGCCGGCCUGAGAGGGUGUCCGGCCACACUGGGACUGAGAUACGGCCCAGACUCCUACGGGAGGCAGCAGUGGGGAAUAUUGCACAAUGGGCGCAAGCCUGAUGCAGCGACGCCCGCGUGGGGGAUGACGGCCUUCGGGUUGUAAACCUCUUUCAGCAGGGACGAAGCGCAAGUGACGGUACCUGCAGAAGAAGCACCGGCCAACUACGUGCCAGCAGCCGCGGUA
rnacentral:rRNA from 1 species